rnacentral:lncRNA from 1 species
AAAAGAUGAUUAAUUGUUUAAAUGUCUAUUCUAAUAAGUACAAUUUAUUUAUUAAUUGUUUAAAAACAAAAAUUGUUGUAUUCAGAAACAGAGGACAAGUUAAAGCAAAUGAGAGAUGGUAUUUAAAUGGAAAUUCAAUAGAUAUGUGUGAUGAAUUUGUAUAUCUGGGUAUUUUAUUUAGAUAUAAUGGUUAUUUUACAUACACUCAAAAAUCAUUAGCAAACCAAGGUCGUAAAGCAUUAUUUAGCCUGUAUAGUAAAUUGCAGGAUGACUGUUUUAAUUUUGAAACUAUGCUGUCAUUGUUUGACACGUAUGUAGCAAGUAUUUUGAAUUAUAGUUGUGAAGUUUGGGGAAAUCACAAAUGUGAUGAUAUCGAACAAGUUCAAAUGAAAUUCUUAAAACGUAUAUUAAAGGUGAAAGCAUCUACUGUUAAUUAUAUGGUUUAUUGUGAGUUGGGACGAUACCCUAUGUUUAUAGAAAGAUAUUGUCGAAUGUUAAAAUAUUGGUUAAAGCUAUUAUGUACUGAUAACUGUAUUCUUAAAUGUUGUUAUGAAGAAAUGCUCGAGAGAUGUAAUAAAAAACCAAACGACAAAUAUAACUGGGCCUGUCGAAUUAGAGACAUAUUAUACAUGUAUGGGUUCCAGGAUAUUUGGUUAUAUCAGGGUGUAAAAAAUGUGAAUUUGUUUUUAAGUGAAUUCAAAGAUAGAGUAAAGGGUAGAUUUCAUAGUGAAAUGAACUCAUUUUUUGAAGACUCGCCAAAAUGUAUGUUGUAUAGAUAUGUAUUUGACCCCAACAUGUUACAAUUUUAUUUAGAUCAUGCUGUAAAUUAUAUUUAUAAACCAUUUAUUUGUAAAUAUCGCAUAUCUGCUCACUGUUUGAAUAUAGAAACUGGUCGAUUUUAUAAUAUCGAGAGACAUCAUAGACUUUGUAAUAUGUGUGAUAAACAAUUAAUUGAAGAUGAAUAUCAUUUUAUUUUAGUAUGUGAAAAGUAUAAUGAACUUCGAAAGAAAUUUAUCAAACCUUAUUAUUGGAGAAAACCUUCUAAUUUUAAACUCAUACAACUGCUAUCUGUUCAUAAUGUAAAGGAACUUAACAAUUUAGGGAAGUUUUUAUUUCUGGCCGAGAAGGCACGUAUUUAAUUUAAUCAUUAUAAAUGCUUAAUAUGUGUUAUGUUUUAUCAUACUCUGCUGUACUGUUAUAUGGGUAUACUUACUUAUAUGAUUAUUUGACUAAUUGUUUAAAUGUAAAUAUAUUUCACUGAUGUAAUUGAAUAUUUGUAAUAUUUAUAUUCUAUAAGCU